rnacentral:rRNA from 1 species
GACGAACGCUGGCGGCGUGCUUAACACAUGCAAGUCGACCGCAGUGGCGAACGGGUGAGUAACGCGUAAUCAACCUGCCCUUCAGAGGGGGACCACCGUUGGAAACGACUGCUAAUACCGCAUCCUGAAGACGGGGAUUGCGUCUGAUUAGCUAGUUGGAGGGGUAACGGACCACCAAGGCGAUGAUCAGUAGCCGGUCUGAGAGGAGGAAAGGCCACAUUGGGACUGAGACACGGCCCAGACUCCUACGGGAGGCAGCAGUGGGGACUCUUCCGCAAUGGACGAAAGUCUGACGGAGCAACGCCGCGUGAGUGAUGACGGCCUUCGGGUUGUAAAGCUCUGUUAAUCGGGACGCGGUACCGGAAUAGAAAGCCACGGCUAACUACGUGCCAGCCGCCGCGGUAAUAC